ensembl:snRNA LOC120101158 U6 spliceosomal RNA
GUCCUCGCUUUGGCAGCACAUAUACUAAAAUUGGAACGAUACAGAGAAGAUUAGCAUGGCCCCUGCACAAGGAUGACAGGCAAAUUCGUGAAGCGUUCCAUAUUUUU